CUUUUGAUGGACAUAUUAGUAUAGUUUUUGCUAUAAACUUGCUGUUACACUUUUGGCAACAUUAAUAAGCCUCAUAACAAUAGAGUGCUUCAAGUGAUUAAAUGUAAGAUCAGUAUAAAAAAUACAGAUUAAUUCCAGGGUCAAGUGAAAAUCUGGAAUAAUGUAUUUAGUGAUCAGACUCUUAAUUUUCCCACCAAAAGGAGUAAUUAUCGGGCAACUCCAAAACAUAUUUAGAAUGUCCCACCUAUGCUGUUUACAUCUCCUACAUUUGUGACUAACUUGAGG